rnacentral:lncRNA from 1 species
GAAUGACAAUUGAAUAAGAUCAUAUUUAUUGGAAAUGCUAUUUCCCAGAACAACUUCCUGCAAGCCCUCCAAUGUACAAACUGCACCAAAUGAUCUACAACAAACCAAAACAAUAAUCAGUUAUGAAACAACUUAUCUCACAAACCACUACUUCAUCAAUAAGUUCAAUAUGAGCAAGUUUUGCUUACUUGUUAGCUUCAAUCACAGUUAUACUCAUCACAAAUAUAAUUCAUUUUCUUUUCCAAACCAUUUUCUUUAGGCUCAACCUCUAACCCUUCAAUGUUCAUAUUUAAGACAUCCCCCAUUAUUAACAUUCUCACCUGGUUCCAUAUCCAAAUCAAUCUCACCUUCCUCUAACUUCCCUUCUUCCUUCUCAACAACAUCAACAGUCUUGUUUGAAUAGAUUGCAUUUCCCUUGCAGCUUGGCAAUGGCGCUGCAUCUUGCAUUUCCCCCUUCUUCCUUCUCCUUUUGUAAUACUUCUAGAGAGCUCCAAGUUGCUACUGAAGAUGUUCGACUUUACGGAUUUCACGCAUUACAGUAAAAGGUGUUGAUGGAUGGAUUGGCUUAUUAACAUAGUUUUCCUUGCUCUGUCGCAGCGGUUUUGUUCUCAAGUUUUGAUAUGCAUCAGCGUAGGAGAGACGGUUCUUUACUGAUGGACGCGGUGGUGAUUCCAAUGUGCUUGAAGCCUUUCGUCCUCUUGAACUUUUUUCUGCAACUCAUCCAACUUCAGAUUGUGCAAAACGAUGAGAUGCAUUUCAUUAGAUGACUCUAAAACUCAACUAUGCUACUGAAACUUAGUAAAACAGCACAAGAAAGAAAAGGGAAAGAAAAAGAGAAAAAAAAAAAAAAUCAAGUAUAUAUAUCCCGAUCAAUAUACCAUCUAUUGUUUUUCCAAUUCUGAUAAGCAGAACAGAUCCAGAUUAAGCAAUUGUCUCAAAUAAAGAAAUCAACCAACCAUAAUUCAAUCGCAAGAAAAUCUAAGAAGAAAAGGAUAGAAACAUAACAGCACCAAAAUAAGUCAAAUCACUUGGUAAGUUUAAUCUUUUCCAGUUUACAUAAAGAGAGAUCAUGAGCUUCGAUCUUAAGAAAAAUAAAUUCAAUAAACAAAUACUCUCCAAUGAAAGAUAGGAACAAUACUCGCAGAAAUCUCAAGAUAAUAACAAUGCAGAUCUAUGCUUGUCAAACAGAUUCAGGGAGAUAUAUAUAUAUAUAUAUAUAGAGAGAGAGAGAGAGAGGAUGGCUUCGACUGAUUUUGCAGGUAUUUUUAAUGAAAAGAAAAAGGGCAACUUAAUGCUGUGCUUUUUGAAUUUGUGAGCGUAACGGCUAGUUUCUUUUUGUUUCCUAUUUUAAUUACUUUUUGGGAGAAGGUGCAUUUUGCCCUUAGUGUUUAACCUGAGGUGCAUAUUUGCCCUUGAACUAUAUUUUUGCAUGUUUAAGCACUAAAUUUACUAAAAGCUGUUAUUCAAGCGCUUCAUUUAACAAAGAAUUAACGGACAUUAAUAGCUAGCUAUACUGAUUUUUUAAUCCUUAUAAAUUGGCUACUGAAUCUGAACUAAUAUAUUUUUCAUCUGUUUACCAAUGGCAUUUGGCAAUUUGAUGAUGAGAUUUCCUUUGGUGGAGGAAGAAUAUUGCUUCAGCUAACAAAACAAAGAACGUGUUUGGAGCAGCAGUUUAUAAUCAAGCAUCUUUGCUAGAGACACACUAGUCAGUUCUUUUUUACCUUGUUUUUCCAUAAUAUCAAUGAGAUUUUGAAACAUUAUUUGGUUAAUUAUGGGAUCCAAUUUCUUUGGUAAUUGUUGGUUAUGACAGAAAAACAACCAUCUUUUCAGCCAUGCGUUUAUCUAAUAUUUAUUAGGAGUUACAACGAAAAAUCUCGGGUGUAGAACUGGAAAUGGAAAUAGAAUUUUUCUUAAAGAAUACAAAAAAGUUUUGAAAGGGAAAAAAUUGAAGAACAAAUUUUAAUAUUAUAUGGUAUGAGAUUAGUAUUUGGUGCAAACAGAUAGUUUAAAAAUGAGUAAAUGAGAUGGUAGAUAGAAAUAUCACCGGACAAGUAACAGUGGAAAAAUGGAGAAAAUAGUAGGUGUAGAAUAGAAAAAAAAAAGAAACUUUUUGCAAUUAGAAUGGCGGGAUUGUGUGGAAAAGACAAGAUAAUCUCUUUUAAUGUGUUAGUGGAAUCCACCGUUUGCCACAUCAACUUACAGUUAGCCUGUGUUAAUUCUUUAUUAAAUGAGGGGCAUGGAUGAUAGCUCUUGAAAACUUUUGUGCUUAAACGCACCAAAAUAUAGUUAAGGGGCAAAUAUAUACUUUGGACUAAAUUUUAGGGUAAAAAUGGACCUUUGUUUACUUUUUAUUGAACUAUGAAGCUAUUUUAUUUAUUAUAUCUUUUUCUUUUUCAUAGAAAAUAUCAUAAUUGAAAAAAAUCAAGCAAUUGUAUCUUUUUCCUUCUCAAUCUAAUCUUAGUCUUUUUUUUUUUAGAUCAAUAAGAUUAUCAAUGGCAAGAGCUAGGAUAUCUGUCUAUUUAAUGAUAUCCAAACUCGAACUCGAUUAAAAUAUGCAUAUUCGAAUAUGUUCCAAAUUUGUUUUAGAAAAAUACCUUUUUUAUUAGUACUCGUCCUCAAUCUGAAUAAGAAAUAAUAUGUGUACUAUCCAAACUCGAUAAAAAUAUAUAGCUAUUAAAUAAAUUAUAUGGAUAUUUAAAUAGGUAGCAAUUACUCUACCUUUAAAUAUCCCUUUAUAUAAAUAUUUGGAUAAUUAAAUAGGUAUCAUUUAUGAUAAUUAAAUUUUAAAAUAUAUUAAUAAAAAUAAGAAAUAAAAAAAUCUAAACUACAUAAUUUUAAACAGGUAUCAGGUACCAGAUUCGGAUACCCAAUGUCCAUAUCCAUUUAAAUAAUUAGGUUAGGGUAGCUGGUAUCCGAGGAUUUGCAUCCAAACCUGACACGGGUAUAUUAUUUGAUCGACUGGUGGAAAAAAAAUGACGACAGGGGUUGAUGGUUAACGGAACCAAACAUCAAAGGAAUAUUAGUUUACUUUUGAAAAAGUAAAUUUGGAAUUAUAAAUUUAUCCAAUCCUCGAGAGGGCAUCAGUAAUUAACCCUAACCUAUUUAAUGAUAAUAAUAAUCAUUAAUGAUAUUUCUAUUCAUCUUUCGAUUACCCAUAAUCUGAUCCUAUACGGAUAAGUAGGUGCUAUGGGGACUAAAUCUUUCAAUUUUAUAUCAUAAAAGACUAUAAUAAACAUAUUAUUAAGAAAUAAUGACAACCAAAAGACUGACACCUAAAAAUAUUAUAAGGAAUCUAAUAUUUCAACAUCACUUAAGUGUAUAUGAUCCUGAGUUAUAAUAACAAUAACCAAAAGAGAUAAUAAAUUCGAAAGGCUAACCAAAGAAUAAUAUACAUUCCAGAGACGACAAAAAUAAUAAUAAAGUCUGUUGGCAUAACCUCCACUAAAGCUAAAGUUAAAAAAGGGAAAAUGAGAGCAAUGCUCUAUAGGGAUCUACUAAAAGAGUAACAAAAUAUAUCUAAAAAAUCUUAAGAAUAAAGGGGUGAGUAUGAAACUUAAUGAGAGAAUAAACAAAUAAUAAGGAAAAACAGAUAAGGAAUUUAAUAUCAUAUCUCAUAGCUGGAAAAAUUUAGUGAUAAAGUCAAUUAUUCUUAACUGGUCUUAAUACACAUUCACAGAUGUACCCUAAUGAUCCUAGAAACAAUGGGCGUAAAAAUAUCUUACCUAGCAGCACAAAGCGCAAAUCUCUGUCAUUCUUGUGCAAGUAUGCCUUCAAAAGGCGACCACCCAGUAUAUGCCAAAAGGCAUGUGUAUAUUGAAUGUUGUCCUAAAGACAACAUAUUAUAUUUUAUAUUAUUGAAUCAGCAUAUCCGACAUCCAAGAUGUGAUUGUACAUGCCACAUAAAUGAAUGACAUAUCACUCAUCUAGCUAUAUAAACUCUAAUUUAUAUAAGAAAAACCAGAAUUACCACUUAUCUGCUCCCAAGAUCUCUAAAAAAUAUUUUGAUUUUUCAAAAUCAAAUUAUACAAUGUUAUAACUUAUACACUCACCUAGACUGUAACGGAGAAAAGACUCCUAACAGACUAGUCGACCACUCGGACCUGCAAUAGACUCUGGGUCCUUCUCUAAAACAAUAUAAUAAUCAAAAUAAGAACUCGAACUAAACUAGAAAUGCUUAGAAAAAAAAAAAGAAAAUAUGAUAAAAUAUCCAUCCAAAAACUACUUGGGCCUCCAAACUACAUAAUUUGCCCAAUUAAACCAUAUCGAAUGCACAACACAAUCAACAUGUCCCACGGGAUUUCACACAUAAAUUAUAAUAAUAUCCAGAUUUAAAUAAGUUAUUACAGCACCUCAAUUCUAAAUAAUUAAAUUCUUGGUAUCCAAAUAAUCUCCCACCAACACAAUAAUACAUAAUAUCAUUUCGAGCAUUUAGAUAAUUUAGUAGACUUAUAAACACACUGAUAAUCUAGAAAUAUUCAAUAAUUCAACCUAAUUAGAUAAUCUCAAUUUAAUUCCAAUAUCAUAAUAAAAAUUCCAUAAAUAAUUAUUCGAGUUAAGUUGAAGCAAAUUAAUACCGUCAAAUUAUGCCCUUCAGCGUGCAAAUCAAAGUGUUGCUACACGCGGUGGCCGAAAAAUUUCAAAGUCACUAGAAAAUGAAAUCCGAGAUCACCUACAUGAAGCUCUCGAUAAGAGGAGUCCAAUCGUCCAAAAACCACCGUCUAACUGCUCACCGAUUGUGCAAAUCGGGGCUGGAAAAUUUUGAUCCUCCCUUGCUCCGAUCACUGGCUCAAAGGUGGAGGGAGGGGUUAAAACUUUCCAGAUCGGCAAUAGAGAAGGUGAGGAGUCAAUUGCCAUCGAUUUUGUAUGCUGGUGAGGCCUAAAACAACUCGAGCAAAGAAUGGCAGCGCUCAAGUCUUCCCCUCUCUCUUUAACUCGAUUUUUCGGAGAGACUAGGUUGUAACUCCGGUCAAGAACAGCUAAGAGAGGUUAGGGACGAAGUCUAAUGGUGGCUUGGGUUAGUGAAAACAAUAGGAGGGGAAGAUUGGUGCUUGAUAGAGGGGGAGGUGAGAUAGAACAAAAAUCGAAGGGAGAGAAAGUGUGGGGCUAAAAUGAUUUAAGAGAAAU